rnacentral:rRNA from 1 species
UACGUAGGGUGCAAGCGUUAAUCGGAAUUACUGGGCGUAAAGCGUGCGCAGGCGGCUUUGCAAGACAGAUGUGAAAUCCCCGGGCUUAACCUGGGAACUGCAUUUGUGACUGCAAGGCUGGAGUGCGGCAGAGGGGGAUGGAAUUCCGCGUGUAGCAGUGAAAUGCGUAGAUAUGCGGAGGAACACCGAUGGCGAAGGCAAUCCCCUGGGCCCGCACUGACGCUCAUGCACGAAAGCGUGGGGAGCAAACAGG